rnacentral:rRNA from 1 species
GGGGUAGCAGGACUAGCAAUAGUUGCUGACGACCGGCAAACGGGUGCGGAACACGUACACAACCUUCCUUUUAGUGGGGAAUAGCCCAGAGAAAUUUGGAUUAAUACCCCGUAACAUAGCGGUGUGGCAUCACACUGUUUAUUAUAGGUUUACCGCUAAGAGAUGGGUGUGCGGCUGAUUAGAUAGUUGGCGGGGUAACGGCCCACCAAGUCUACGAUCAGUAGCUGAUGUGAGAGCAUGAUCAGCCACACGGGCACUGAGACACGGGCCCGACUCCUACGGGAGGCAGCAGUAAGGAAUAUUGGACAAUGGACGCAAGUCUGAUCCAGCCAUGCCGCGUGAAGGAUGAAGGUCCUCUGGAUUGUAAACUUCUUUUAUAUGGGACGAAAAAAGGGAAUUCUUUCCCUCUUGACGGUACUGUAUGAAUAAGCACCGGCUAACUCCGUGCCAGCAGCCGCGGUAAUACGGAGGGUGCAAGCGUUAUCCGGAUUCACUGGGUUUAAAGGGUGCGUAGGCGGGAAUGUAAGUCAGUGGUGAAAUCCUAGAGCUUAACUCUGGAACUGCCAUUGAUACUAUAUUUCUUGAAUAUUGUGGAGGUUUGCGGAAUAUGUCAUGUAGCGGCGAAAUGCAUAGAUAUGACAUAGAACACCUAUUGCGAAGGCAGCAGGCUACACAUAUAUUGACGCUGAGGCACGAAAGCGUGGGGAUCAAACAGGAUUAGAUACCCUGGUAGUCCACGCCCUAAACGAUGAUUACUCGACAUACGCGAUAAACUGUGUGUGUCUGAGCGAAAGCAUUAAGUAAUCCACCUGGGGAGUACGACCGC